GCAGCUAAAACUAGGGAGAAAGUCAAAGCUGUAUACGGCACUUGUAAUGUGAGUAUUUUCUCUUCCACAGGACCACAACAGAUGUUGGUGCUGGGGUAGAGUUAUCAGUCUUUGGGGAAGAGGUUCAAGCUCCUCACACACAGAUGAAGUGCUGCUAGGCAUUCAGAGAUGCUAUUUCAGCUCUCCAUCUAAGGGAGGUGGGACUGGCAACUCUGACAUGCAAGGGAGGAUGAGGAGAACUGUAAGUAUAUGUGCUAUGCCAGCAACCCCUGUGCAGCAAUCAGCACAGGGCAGAGAGUGCCACCAUUUGGUUCCAUGCAAUCAGCAAGCCAGAGCCUUGCCGGAGAUUAAACUACACCACUCCCAUUAUGGUCCAGUCUUACAUGGGUGGUGCAUCACCCAAAAUUGAAAAGUUAAAUGAAUGUGACUCUGACAGCCCAAUAACAACAAAACGUUACUUCAGAGAUAAGGUAAGGGAAUACUUCACAAAAAUGGCAGCUUUGUCAGGCACCUGAGAAGCUGGCAGCUUCGUUUCUGGCUGUUAAUCAUUAUUUAGUAUAUUUUAUAUUUUAAAAAACAGUUUAUGAGUGAUUUGGACU
rnacentral:lncRNA from 1 species